AACGAACGCUGGCGGCAUGCCUAACACAUGCAAGUCGAACGAGACCUUCGGGUCUAGUGGCGCACGGGUGCGUAACGCGUGGGAACCUGCCUUUAGGUUCGGAAUAACUCCCCGAAAGGGGUGCUAAUACCGGAUAAUGUCUUCGGACCAAAGAUUUAUCGCCGUUGGAUGGGCCCGCGUUGGAUUAGCUAGUUGGUAGGGUAAAAGCCUACCAAGGCGACGAUCCAUAGCUGGUCUGAGAGGAUGAUCAGCCACACUGGGACUGAGACACGGCCCAGACUUCUACGGGAGGCAGCAGUGGGGAAUAUUGGACAAUGGGCGAAAGCCAGAUCCAGCAAUGCCGCGUGAGUGAUGAAGGCCUUAGGGUUGUAAAGCUCUUUUACCCGGGAUGAUAAUGACAGUAACGGGAGAAUAAGCUCCGGCUAACUCCGUG
rnacentral:rRNA from 1 species